CUUAACAUAUAGCAUUGGUAGCAUCCAUUCCCAGGACAUAAACAAAGCGGAGAAGGGCCGAUUUCUGGGUAGAAAUGGGUAGGAUAGCCCCUUGAGCAGCUUAAGAAGCAUGACAGGAGGAAGGGACCUGAUACUCCUACAGAGUCCUCAGAAUGAAAAGGCUGCUCUCUGAACAAUGAAACUCACAGGGAGAAGAGGAAUUUAAUCCUAACACUUCAGCCUUGCAAGCUGCUCAGGGCACGGACCCCAGGAGAGUCGGCGCAUGUGUGAGUGCAGACAGGCUCUCGUCUUGCGCAGCGGAGACUGGCAGUCAUCUAUGGAAUGACCGUGUGCAUGGGAUUUUAAUACAUCUGAGAAGAAUUCAGGAGGUAAAGCAACUGGUUCAAAUAGUGGAAUUUGUUAAACCACACAAAACAGGAUGAAAAAUACCCAUGUCGGUCUGAAUUUUGACUCCUUGUGUGGCUCUGAUGGCCUUCUUCAAUGAUGCGUCAUUCUCCAUCCUGUGUUCUCCAGGAGCUGUUUGCCUAGUGGGUCCACCCCCCCACCCCAACCCCCACCAGGAUUGUUACCUGAUCACCAUGAGUUCUCCCAUUUGCCAACCACUGUGUCAACCAAGAAUGCAUUCUGUAACCGCGAGGCUACGAAUCAAUAGAAUUGUGACUUGUCAAGUGAGUGGAUAUUUGACAUUCCGGAAAGAAACUUGGGUCUGCUGUAGCUGUCUUUAGCCCCAUGUCUGUACAGGGGGUCAGAAACACUUCUUUCCCUUUGCUCCUACAGACAGACAGAAGAGUGACAGACAGAUGUACAAACACAACAGGAGCACA